CCUACGGGGGGCUGCAGUGGGGAAUAUUGCACAAUGGGCGCAAGCCUGAUGCAGCCAUGCCGCGUGUAUGAAGAAGGCCUUAGGGUUGUAAAGUACUUUCAGCGGGGAGGAAGGUGAUAAGGUUAAUACCCUUAUCAAUUGACGUUACCCGCAGAAGAAGCACCGGCUAACUCCGUGCCAGCAGCCGCGGUAAUACGGAGGGUGCAAGCGUUAAUCGGAAUUACUGGGCGUAAAGCGCACGCAGGCGGUCAAUUAAGUCAGAUGUGAAAGCCCCGAGCUUAACUUGGGAAUUGCAUCUGAAACUGGUUGGCUAGAGUCUUGUAGAGGGGGGUAGAAUUCCAUGUGUAGCGGUGAAAUGCGUAGAGAUGUGGAGGAAUACCGGUGGCGAAGGCGGCCCCCUGG
rnacentral:rRNA from 1 species